CCUGUGUAUGAAAGUGUGAGACUGUAAAGUGCUGAGCGUGUGACUGGUGGAACGAAACAGGGUAUGUGGUGCAAGAAUGGUAUGUUUUAGAACAGACGGUGCUAACUGCAAGGAGGAUGCGGAGACGAGAGGACUCAGAGGCAGUUGGUGGAAAAACUACUGUCAGGAAACCACCACCAGGAGGAGCCAGCACGUGAUUCUGCAGGGGAAGAGUCGGGCCAACAUCCGGCGGACCAAAGGAGACCAAUGAGAGAGCGCCAAGGAUACGUGAGGAGACACAGAACCAAUAGUGAAUCAGUAGAUUGUACUUUAAAAUUGUUCUGGGAAACUCGGAUGUAGAGAACGUCUGCUGGUGGCAACAGAGACGUACAGGGUUGUAAUGAGAGGGACCCGAGACCCAGGCAGUGGAACAGGUGGUCCACUGUUACCAUGAAGAACCCUAAGACAUUCAAAACCAAGACAUCUACCAUCAACCUCGAGCAAUCCACCACCAAACAUGAGGCUCUACCAUUCCUCGAAAGCGUUUUGGCCCAUGUAAGAAGCAAGGUUCCAAAGAAAAGGGAUGAUGCUGCUGACUGAGUUAAGGGACACCGGCAGGCAUCAAGACUAUAUUGCACCACAAGAAGAGGACAUCGACAUUGUACAGAUAAAAUAUCUGGCCAACUUCAUUGUCCUUGAACAGAAGGUGAUGGAAGACCCUUCUGCAGAACUGCUAUGAUUAAAAAUUCAAAAUGUUGAAAGAUGGAUGGGUAACCCUCACCGAAAAUAUCAAACGGAUGCCGAAGAGAUCAAGGGAAACCAUUUAAAAAAAACAGGGAUGACAUCAAGAUGGCACCGAUGACAGCACUGUGGAGGAUCCUGGAAAAAGGAGACCAUGAAAGCAUGGCAAAGAACGCAUGGAAGAGUGUUACUGCCAGAGGUCAAGAUGUUUUUCUGCCAAGAGGACUAAAGUCAUUCAAAUUUCUCGACCUUAUCGACAAUACAUCACUUCAGAAGAUCUUUGCCUUCCAUUUCCGCUCCCAACCCAGGGAGCUCUCAUCACUGGGUCUUCUACACAAAGGCAACCAAUCAGAUGCUACUGUUACUGCUGGUGCUGCUGCUACUUGCCUCUGUCUCCUCGCUUAUCUGGCCUAAUCAACAAAACAGCCUCAGCUGCCCCUUCGGAUCCCCUGCCAGGAUCCUGAGGUGCAAAUCCAGAUCCCUGUGGACUACAUCGGCCAGGGUGGAGGGCAGACUGGAUUCUGAGAGGGAAUAAUGACGGCCGCUCAAGUGAAUCCCUUAAGCUGCAAAGCUCACUCUUCUCCCGCUACAGCAGAGAAGAAAGGCUAUGGAAGAAAGAAAUGAUGAAAGGAGAGGGAGUCCAUCUCAUUGGGAUACCUUGAUGAAAGACUGCAUUUGGAGGGAGAGAACACCUGGUAACAUAUGCUGCUGGGACUGAUCGCAGGGCCACAGAGCACCAGCUGCAACUAACAGCCAGGACGAUUCAGCAGAUCGUGUGUCCCCAGGGCUCCAGAGGAACAGCUGAAGCAGGGGCAGUGGUGGCUUGUCAUCGUGGGGCUCCCGCUGUUUCCCUCCUUUUCACUGCUCCCCAUAUGGUCUUGCAGCACUGGAUCCCCAGGGGCCUGUUAACGCCGCACCACCCAGGCCUAGGCCCUGCCACCAGGUCUCUCUCACCUCCUGUCUCACCCCUGCUCCGGGACUCAUCGUCACCCCAAUGUCUCCUCUACUCUGUGCCUCCACACCCUCCCAGCUUUUGAUUGUGUGGAUCACACCACAGUGAUUUUCGACCUGUUUUUGUUGUAGUUUUUUAACCAGGCAUACUGCUACCUCCCUAUUCUUAUCUUUUUAGCUUUACAUUGAUAUUUCUGAUCUACUAUCAUAUGUUCCCUUUUUCACCAAUGUAUUCAUGUGAGGAUUGGCAUAUGCAUCAUUUUCAUGUCAUUUGGUCAAUAAGAUAGACAUGUCCCUCUGUAUUUCCCUUUUGAAAAUCCAUCAAUAUGACUAAAUAUUUGAAUUAUUUGUGGUUGUUAUCCAACAAAAGGUCAUCAAAAUGUUAAAAUGUCUUUAUCUUUAGGUGUCGAAAAUGAAGUUUCAUGAUUUGUGAUGUUUUUUGAAGAUGCAAAUUACAUGUUGGCAUUUUGUACAUGGCAUUUUCUUCUAUCGCUUCAUCUGGGUGGAAUGGCGAACCACUGGUUAGGACAUCUGCCCGACAGUUCUGAGGACCAGGGUUAGAUUCCUGGCCCUGCCUGUUUGGAGUUUCCGUGGGUGUCUGCGUGGGAUUUCUCCAGGCACUUCAGUUUCCUCCCACAUCCCAAAAACCUGUGUGGUAGUUUAAGUGAAGACUAAACAGGCCAGAGAACGUGAGUGUGAGUGGUUAUUUGUUUGUAUGUGCCCUCUGACUGGCUGGGACUAAUUUCAGUUGUACCCCACUUCUCGCCCAACGAUAGCUGCAACACUAGUGAGGAUGGGGGAUACACACAAGUGACAACAGCACAGUGACACAACUGUAGCGUGUUGGCCUCACAGUUCUGAGAACUCUGGCCUCGCCUGUGUGGAGUUUGCAUGUUCUCCCCAUGCCUGUGUGGGUUUUCUCUGGGUACUCCGGUUUCUCCCACAUCCCAAAAACAUCCAACAUUAAUUGGAAACUCUAAAUGGCCCCUAUGUGUGAUUGUGGGUGUGAUUGUUGUCUUCCUUCAUGUCCCCCGCUGUUGGCUGGCAACGAUUUCCGGGUGUACCGAGCCUCCUGCCCGAUGACAACUGGGAUUGCCUCCAGCACUCCCGUGACCCUUGUGAGGAUAAGCGGCUCAGAAAAUGGAUGGAUGGCAUUAAAAAAUUGCUCUAUUUUUUUCUAAUUAAGUGUCUUCCACAGUGUGUAUAUGAAAUAACCCAUGCACCAUAAAUAGAGUUAAAUAUUUGAAUAUUAUGACUACCAUUAGAAGAAUAUUUUGCUCAAAGUAUUUUUUUUUCAACUAGUCAUUAUUCUUACUCAAAGAAAUUGAACAGAUCACCUUAAAAACAUACUGUAUUAUUUGUCUGUGUUCUAACGAUUGGUCCAUGCAGUGGGCCUCACUGAUGCUGUAACUCCCUGCCUCUUUAAAGAGUGAUUUAAAUUCUGCAGGCCCUCAGCAGAGCUUUCUGCUAUAAUGUAUUUUAGUUUACCUUCACCAACAGAGCCACAAGCUUCUCUAAAUCAGCUGUCACUACCUCAUGGGGAUUAGCAGGGAUUUGUAAGUGAACAGGGAGUGUUGUUUCACACAAGUUAUCAAACAGAUCAUAAAACACCAUUGUUGGGAUUUGACUGUUUGGUUACACAUCUUGAAGCUGCACCUUAUGGUAAUGCUGUUGAGUUUGCUGAGUGUUUACACUUGAGAGCGAA